rnacentral:sRNA from 1 species
ACAUAUUUCAGGCAUUUGUUUACAUUUUACCGUUGCAAAUUUAACUUUUUACAGAAUGAAUGGAACAUCAUAACAUGCCUAACAUGAAGUAACUAACCUGGGUGUGUACUGAAAGUAAAACAUGAAGUAGUGAGCACUAAGAAUUGAUAAUGACAAGAUAUAUUGGUAACAUCAGAGUUUGGAUUCUGGAUACAUAUAAAAUGAAUUAGGGUCAGCAGUACUCUUAAAAGACUAACGUAACAUCUGUGCACCCCCAGGUUAUGAGAGACGUGACACGCCCCUUCCCACCCUUCCCCAUCUUGUUAAGGCACUCUUUAUGUCUUCACCGAAGCUGUUGUACCUUGUCAUAGUUCUGAAUAAAAAGCCACCCACCCCCAUCACUUCCCGCCCCCCACUCUGGUCUAGGUAUUGUUGCGUGACCAACCCUCGCUCAGAACACGAGCCAGGACGACACUGACAACAGGUAUGCAGGUAGGUGCUAGCAAAAUACCUUUACAUUACAAAACUCGUAGC